CGCCAGUCGGCGCUGGCGUAGCUCGGCUCAGCCCGGCGGAGUCUGACUUCCGGAGGGCCAGCGGCGCGCUGGCUGGUUACCAAGGUUACCGCCGAGAGGCCGCGUCCUCAGCUGGUCCUAGACAUGCGUGGCGUCGGGGCUGUGGCACGGUCGGGUCCGGGGACACUUGUUUAACAAGACAUCUGCCCAUGUCCCUGGCCCAUCUCAUUGGCUGCAGCACAUCACAGUGGACCUUCUGCCUCCUCCCAGAUGCCCAGGGACAGUGAUCUGGAAGGAAGGGGCUUGAGGCUGUUUUCCUAGAACUCGACUUGAAUGCACCAAGGAAAGGCCAUUUGUGGGGACAUAGCAAGAAGGCAGCUGUCUGCAAGCCAGGAGGAGAACCCUCACCAGAAACCUCACAGAAAUCGGCCAACACCCUCAUCUCGGGCUUCCAGCUUCAGAACAACGAGAAAACAAAUUUCUGUUGUGUCCUGGUUCCCAUUUGUAAUUGGCACCCUAAUGAAACCGUUUUCUGUAGCCCUGGAAAUGGCUGAAAAUGAGGGGAGGGAAAUAAAGUGCUAUAAUUCAGAGCAUGGAGCACACCUUCCUGGUUCACCUGAGCUGGAUUCGGAGAGGUAAAAUGGCCAUUACCUCGUCUAAGCUGCCACUUACAGACACAGUACAGGAUGAGGCCCAGACCCACAGAGACAACGAUGAUGGCCACAGCUAAGAUGAUCCAGAAAUUAUUCCUCCACCAGCUCAUUGCAGUGGAAUCCUGAGAAGAAUGGAGAGAGAAGAAUGAGCUUCUUGCAUGACUGCCUGAAAUCCGCCUCCUGUCAGAUCAGCAGGGGCAUUGGAUUAUGAUAGGAGUGAGAACACCAUUGUGGACUGCGCAUGCCAGGGAUCUAGGUUCCGCGCUCCUUAUGAGAAUCUGAUGCCUGAUGAUCUGUCACUGUCUCCCAUCACCCCCAGAUGGGACUGUCUAGUUGAAGAAAAACAAGUUCAGGGCUCCCACUGAUGCUACGUUACGAGAUGAAAAGUACACUGAAUGGAAUUUGCAGCAGAUUACACACUGCAGACCACAGAUUAAUGAAUUUGACACAGUAAUAGAAAUUAUCCGGGCGGGCCGUGGUGGCUCACACCUGUAAUCCCAGCACUUUGGGAGGCCGAGGAAGGCGGAUCACCUGAGGUCAGGAGUUCGAGACCAGCCUGGCCAACAUAGAGAAACCCAGUCUUUACUAAA
rnacentral:lncRNA from 1 species